UACCACACCAAGCUUUUCAUUGCCUUCAAACAAUUAAUGCCAGAGGCUUUGGAUAAAAAGUUGUGGUUAUAUAGAAAUCCAGUUGCGAUUAAACUUUCAUCCGGA
rnacentral:snoRNA from 1 species